rnacentral:rRNA from 1 species
UACCAGCACCCCGAGUGGUCGGGACGUUUAUUGGGCCUAAAGCAUCCGUAGCCGGUUCUACAAGUCUUCCGUUAAAUCCAGCUGCUCAACAGAUGGGCUGCGGAGGAUACUAUAAGACUAGGAGGCAGGAGAGGCAAGCGGUACUCAGUGGGUAGGGGUAAAAUCCGUUGAUCCAUUGAAGACCACCAGUGGCGAAGGCGGCUUGCCAGAAUGCGCUCGACGGUGAGGGAUGAAAGCUGGGGGAGCAAACCGG